AGCGCAGACGGUUUAUUAAGUCUGAUGUGAAAGCCCGGAGCUCAACUCCGGAAUGGCAUUGGAAACUGGUUAACUUGAGUGCAGUAGAGGUAAGUGGAACUCCAUGUGUAGCGGUGGAAUGCGUAGAUAUAUGGAAGAACACCAGUGGCGAAGGCGGCUUACUGGACUGCAACUGACGUUGAGGCUCAAAGUGUGGUAGCAAACA
rnacentral:rRNA from 1 species